GUUUCAGUCAUUUUAUGUAUGCCCUUUCAACAACAUUUGGCGCCAAAACCUGCCAUAUGUAUGUCAUGUUGACCUGAAACUAGUUAGUAUUUUAUUUGGAAGUGUUAAAUAAGGAUCUCUGCCUGUGAUUUCUUGGCACCUACCUUAGUUGGGUGGUUUUUAUGCUGAAAUUGGUAAGACAACGGAGAUAUUGGAGGUGGUAUGUUAGGAGCACUUACAUGUCAAAGGUG
rnacentral:lncRNA from 1 species